CAACAAUCUAGGUUUAAUGCAUGUAUACUAUUUUAUAAUUCCCCUGCUCUUCUCUAACACCAGGGCAAAUUGAACCUCAAUAUAAAACAGCCUGUCUUUACUUGAUUUGGAUUCCACAACAAAAAAGUGCACUAGAUGCCUUACAUAUGAUAUUGUGACACAUGACAUUUAGAGCCAUCAGCUUAACACCGAUAAGACAACUAAAACGCCUUUGAUCCAAUAAAAUCUGAAUUAUAUCCUCUGCUCCUUAACAGGGCCUGUAGCUACUAUGAUGGUGCCUUCUAUUUGGAAUGAUACUUGCUUAUCAUAAUUGUUGUUGAGACUUGUAUGUUAACCUGGCAUCUUGGAAUUGUGCUGCAGAAGCCAUUGUCCCCUAUUAUAUCAAAUGAACCACUAAUGUACUGUGCAUGGCAGAAGUGAUAUUGGCAAUCCCUUUAUUUAAGUAACGAAAACUGUAACUUCAAAUAAAA